GUGGGGAAUAUUGCACAAUGGACGGAAGUCUGAUGCAGCGACGCCGCGUGGAGGAUGACGGCCUUCGGGUUGUAAACUCCUUUCAGUAGGGAAGAAGCCGAAAGGUGACGGUACUUGCAGAAGAAGCGCCGGCUAACUACGUGCCAGCAGCCGCGGUAAUACGUAGGGCGCAAGCGUUGUCCGGAAUUAUUGGGCGUAAAGGGCUCGUAGGCGGUUUGUCACGUCUGCUGUGAAAACGCGAGGCUUAACCUCGCGCCUGCAGUGGGUACGGGCGAACUAGAGUGUGGUAGGGGAGACUGGAAUUCCUGGUGUAGCGGUGGAAUGCGCAGAUAUCAGGAGGAACACCGAUGGCGAAGGCAGGUCUCUGGGCCAUUACUGACGCUGAGGAGCGAAAGCAUGGGUAGCGAACAGGAUUAGAUACCCUAGUAGUCC
rnacentral:rRNA from 1 species